UACGUAGGGUGCAAGCGUUAAUCGGAAUUACUGGGCGUAAAGCGUGCGCAGGCGGUUGUGCAAGACCGAUGUGAAAUCCCCGGGCUUAACCUGGGAAUGGCAUUGGUGACUGCACGGCUAGAGUGUGUCAGAGGGGGGUAGAAUUCCACGUGUAGCAGUGAAAUGCGUAGAGAUGUGGAGGAACACCGAUGGCGGAAGGCAGCCCCCUGGGUCAAGACUGACGCUCAUGCACGAAAGCGUGGGGAGCAAACAGG
rnacentral:rRNA from 1 species